UCCAGACUCCUACGGGAGGCAGCAGUGGGGAAUAUUGGGCAAUGGGCGAAAGCCUGACCCAGCAAUGCCGCGUGAAUGAAGAAGGUCUUAGGAUUGUAAAAUUCUGUCCUAUGGGAAGAAACAAAUGACGGUACCAUAGGAGGAAGCCCCGGCUAACUACGUGCCAGCAGCCGCGGUAAUACGUAGGGGGCGAGCGUUGUCCGGAUUUACUGGGUGUAAAGGGAGCGUAGACGGUUCUGCAAGUCUGAAGUGAAAGCCCGUGGCUUAACCGCGGAACGGCUUUGGAAACUGUGGAACUGGAGUGCUGGAGAGGCAAGCGGAAUUCCUAGUGUAGCGGUGAAAUGCGUAGAUAUUAGGAGGAACACCAGUGGCGAAGGCGGCUUGCUGGACAGUAACUGACGUUGAGGCUCGAAAGCGUGGGGAGCAAACAGGAUUAGAUACCCUAGUAU
rnacentral:rRNA from 1 species